GUCCUAUCAGCUGGUUGGUAGGGUAAUUGCCUACCAAGGCUAUGACGGGUAGGGGACCUGAGAGGGUGGCCCCCCACACUGGCACUGAAACACGGGCCAGACACCUACGGGUGGCAGCAGUAGGGAAUAUUGGACAAUGGGCGAAAGCCUGAUCCAGCAACGCCGCGUGCGCGAUGACGGCCUUCGGGUUGUAAAGCGCUUUUAGGGGAGAUGAGAAAGGACAGUAUCCCCUGAAUAAGCCUCGGCGAACUACGUGCCAGCAGCCGCGGUAAAACGUAGGAGGCGAGCGUUAUCCGGAUUUACUGGGCGUAAAGCGUGUGCAGGCGGUUUGAUAAGUUGGAUGUGAAAGCUCCUGGCUUAACCGGGAGAGGUCGUUCAAAACUAUCAGACUAGAGAGUGGUAGAGGGAGAUGGAAUUCCGCGUGUAGUGGUGAAAUGCGUAGAUAUGCGGAGGAACACCAGUGGCGAAAGCGGUCUCCUGGCCCAUUUCUGACGCUCAGACACGAAAGCUAAGGUAGCAAACGGGAUUAGAGACCCCGGUAGUCUUAGCUGUAAACGAUGUGAACUUAGUGUCGGUGGGGUUAAAUCCAUCGGUACUGAAGCUAACGCGAUAAGUUCACCGCCUGGGGACUACGGCCGCAAGGUUAAAACUCAAAGGAAUUGACGGGGCCCCGCACAAGCAGCGGAGCGUGUGGUUUAAUUCGAUGCUACACGAAGAACCUUACCAGGGUUUGACAUGCAAGUGGUAGGAAACUGAAAAGUGACCGACCCUUCGGGGAGCUUGCACAGGUGCUGCAUGGCUGUCGUCAGCUCGUGUCGUGAGAUGUUCGGUUAAGUCCGCUAACGAGCGCAACCCUCGCUGUGUGUUAUAUGUGUCACACGGGACUGCCGGUUUUAAGCCGGAGGAAGGCGAGGAUGACGUCAAGUCAGCAUGGCCUUUAUAUCCUGGGCUACACACACGCUACAAUGGUCGGUACAAUAGGUUGCCAAGCCGCGAGGCGGAGCCAAUCCAUAAAGCCGGCCUCAGUUCAGAUUGUAGGCUGCAACUCGCCUGCAUGAAGAUGGAGUUGCUAGUAACCGCAGGUCAGCAAUACUGCGGUGAAUACGUUCCCGGG
rnacentral:rRNA from 1 species